rnacentral:lncRNA from 1 species
ACAACCCCCAAAUCUUGUUCUCGGGGGUCCAGGCCUUCUACUAUACCUGAGCCCCUGCCUAUCUCCUCAGGGUCCACUAACUAUGUCCAGGAGCCUUAGCUUCCCUCAGAUUCUCAUGUUCAAUUUUCCCUAGCUCAUUCUCCCAGGGAUUCCUCAAUGCCAGGUGGCAAAUGAUGCCCACCUCAGUCAUUCCUAUAUGCACAAGGUACCUCUGAAGAGAGGGAACAACAGGCAGACUCCCAAAUCUGUGCCGGUUAAGGAGUCUCUAAAAGGACAGAGUUCUUCAAAGGGGGCAGCGUGGAAAAUGGAAUUGAAAGGCGGUUGGUUCUCUUGGAUCCAGCAUCAACUUGCAAGGGGCAUUCUACAUACCGUAGAAAGGUGUAGAUGAAAUGACUUCUCUCAGUGGUACUCGGCACACACUUCUGAAACUUCUUGUUAAUGUGUUUUUUAUAACAAAAAUGGAAAAUGGAGUCAGACCUCAAGCUUAGAAAAAUGGCAAAUCCGUAGUUACCGUCUCAUCCGGGGUAUUUAACCUCAUGUGUGUCCCGUAUCACUUUUGGAAGUCUGAUGAAGCUUCUCUGAAUCAGAUUUGUUGCUUCGUUCAUAAUUAAAAGAAAUACUAGCUUUCUGCAAAUGGUUAGUGAAAAGAGAGGUAUCACCUUUCUCCAGCCAAGCUCAUUGAUUGACCCUCUGAAGCUUAACCACAGACUUUGUCCACGGACUCCAGUUCAGUGGCAAGACUGGAUGAACGGUGAUGGCCCAGAAAGGUGGAUGAACUCGACAUCUUCAAUGUCUGACCAAACCCUAAGUGCUCCACAGUUCCUGCUUCAGCCACCUUCAUGGUCAUCGUAAUAAAUUAUUCCCAUCUGCCCAUUCUGCUGAAAGAAGUCUCCCCAUCAUCCCUUGAACUCUCGUGUGUCAGCUACCCUCAACAUAGUUCAGCUCAUAUGCCAAGAUCACUUUACCCAGGUGCAGCCACCGCCCAAGAUACAGAGACAGGAACCACAGCUACAGAAAUUCAUGAAAACCAACUAUCAAAGACUAAGAUUUUUGCUGGUAAAGGAAUCACUAAUCCUGGAGGCAUCGUAGACUCUGGAGGGAUUGAAUGGCAAUGCAGUGAUCCAGGACAACUUGGAGGGAUCUAUGAGAAAGAAAACUAG